CAUGGCCUGCAGCCCUGA
rnacentral:misc_RNA from 1 species